GACGAACGCUGGCGGCGUGCUUAACACAUGCAAGUCGAACGGAAAGGCCCUGCUUUUGUGGGGUGCUCGAGUGGCGAACGGGUGAGUAACACGUGAGUAACCUGCCCUUGACUUUGGGAUAACUUCAGGAAACUGGGGCUAAUACCGGAUAGGAGCUCCUGCUGCAUGGGGGGGGUUGGAAAGUUUCGGCGGUUGGGGAUGGACUCGCGGCUUAUCAGCUUGUUGGUGGGGUAGUGGCUUACCAAGGCUUUGACGGGUAGCCGGCCUGAGAGGGUGACCGGCCACAUUGGGCCUGAGGUACGGACCAGAAUCCUACGGGAGGCAGCAGUGGGGAAUAUUGCACAAUGAGCGGAAGCCUGAUGCAGCAACCCCGCGUGCGGGAUGACGGCCUUCGGGUUGUAAACCGCUUUCGCCUGUGACGAAGCGUGAGUGACGGUAAUGGGUAAAGAAGCACCGGCUAACUACGUG
rnacentral:rRNA from 1 species